GGGAUAAGUGGCGGGAUCAUAUAAACACUCUUUAGCAUUUGUAUUACAAGCGGGAUCUCGGUAAGCAUCCCGUCCCGCCUGGCCGGGAUCAUAUAAACAGGCCCCUAAUCUCAUCCCAUGAUACUGAAUCACAGUUUGUAAGGCCCCAUUUACAUGAGACCAGGAUGAAACCAACCUGGAAUGAAAAUUGAAAUUGCAUGUCAACAUGUUUACAUGAGACCAGUAUGAAAGUCACAAAAUUUUCAAUUUAUUCCCCUUGCCAGGCAAUUUUCGUUUUUAGAUGGCUUUUGUUAGCAUGUGUUGUUCACUUGUUCCAAUGUCAACAUUCAUUCCAGUCUGAAUUCAUGCUGGUCUGAAGUCAGUCGGCUUGGUCCAGCAGGCGGAAUGACUUGAGACCUCAUGUAAACAUCUAUUAUAUAUAAUAUAAUGACCAAAACGAAAUGGUCCCGGU